UGGGCCAGUGAUGGUGACUGGCAGUGGGUGAGUGAUGGGUGAUGAGAAAUAUGUAUCUGGAUAUCUGAGGGCCAA
ensembl:snoRNA